rnacentral:rRNA from 1 species
UAGGGAAUAUUGCUCAAUGGGCGAAAGCCUGAAGCAGCAACGCCGCGUGGAGGAUGACACUUUUCGGAGCGUAAACUCCUUUUGUUGGGGAAGAAAUUUGACGGUACCCAACGAAUAAGCACUGGCUAACUCCGUGCCAGCAGCCGCGGUAAUACGGAGGGUGCAAGCGUUAAUCGGAAUAACUGGGCGUAAAGGGCAUGCAGGCGGUUAUACAAGUAGGAUGUGAAAGCCUGGGGCUCAACCUCAGAACUGCAUUCUAAACUGUGUGACUAGAGUAUUGCAGGGGGAGACGGAAUUUCAGGUGUAGCGGUGGAAUGCGUAGAUAUCUGAAAGAACACCAAAGGCGAAGGCAGUCUCCUGGGCAAAUACUGACGCUCAUAUGCGAAAGCGUGGGUAGCAAACAGGAUUAGAUACCCUGGUAGU